AACCGGAUUAGAUACCCUGGUAGUCCAUGCCGUAAACGUUGGGAACUAGAUGUAGGGGCCAUUCCACGGUUUCUGUGUCGCAGCUAACGCAUUAAGUUCCCCGCCUGGGGAGUACGGCCGCAAGGCUAAAACUCAAAGGAAUUGACGGGGGCCCGCACAAGCGGCGGAGCAUGCGGAUUAAUUCGAUGCAACGCGAAGAACCUUACCAAGGCUUGACAUGAACGAGAACGGGCCAGAAAUGGUCAACUCUUUGGACACUCGUUUACAGGUGGUGCAUGGUUGUCGUCAGCUCGUGUCGUGAGAUGUUGGGUUAAGUCCCGCAACGAGCGCAACCCUCGUUCUAUGUUGCCAGCACGUGAUGGUGGGAACUCAUAGGAGACUGCCGGGGUCAACUCGGAGGAAGGUGGGGAUGACGUCAAAUCAUCAUGCCCCUUAUGUCUUGGGCUUCACGCAUGCUACAAUGGCCGGUACAAAGGGCUGCAAUACCGUGAGGUGGAGCGAAUCCCAAAAAGCCGGUCUCAGUUCGGAUUGAGGUCUGCAACUCGACCUCAUGAAGUCGGAGUCGCUAGUAAUCGCAGACCAGCAACGCUGCGGUGAAUACGUUCCCGGGCCUUGUACACACCGCCCGUCAAGUCAUGAAAGUCGGUAACACCCAACGCCAGUGGCCUAACCGUAAGGGGGGAGCUGUCUAAGGUGGGAUCGGUGAUUAGGACUAAGUCGUAACAAGGUAGCCGUA
rnacentral:rRNA from 1 species